rnacentral:rRNA from 1 species
CCCUUAGAUGUCCUGGGCCGCACGCGCGCUACACUGAUGCAUUCAACGAGUUUUACCUUGGCCGAGAGGCCUGGGCAAUCUUUUAAACCUGCAUCGUGAUAGGGAUAGAUUAUUGCAAUUAUUAAUCUUGAACGAGGAAUUCCUAGUAAACGCAAAUCAUCAAUUUGCAUUGAUUACGUCCCUGCCCUUUGUACACACCGCCCGUCGCACCUACCGAUUGAAUGGUCCGGCGAAGCCUCGGGAUUGUGGCCAGUUCACUUCAUUGGGAGUUGGCUGCGAGAACUUGUCUAAACCUUAUCAUUUAGAGGAAGGUGAAGUCGUAACA